UCUAUACUGGAUCUUAAUUUCAUUGAGAGAACAAUGAAGGCAUAUGUUCCUACUUUAUUCCUGUUUCUCUGGCUGCAGUGGAAUGAGGCAAGCUACGGUGAGCAGGUGGAACAGCGUCCUUCAAUCCUGACCAUCCAAGAGGGAGCCAGCACUGUCAUCAACUGCACAUAUGUAGACAGUGCCUCAACCUACUUCCUUUGGUAUAAACAAGGACAUGGAAAACAUCCUGAGCUCAUUAUUGACAUUCGGUCAAACAUGGAAAAAAAGCAGGACCAAAGACUACUAGUUUUACUGGAUAAAAAAGGCAAACAGUUCUCCCUGCACAUGAUAGAUGCCCAGCCUGAAGACUCUGCCGUGUACUUCUGUGCCACAGAUACACACUGCUCACCAGGCACCUACAGCCUGUCCUCAAACCUGCCACGGGGCCUGGAGCCCCAUCCACAUCCUGUGUCACAAGCUUUCCAGUGUAGCAUUUGUCAGUUGUUAGUUGCAAGUGCCAACUAUAUUGUAGACAUAAAGAAAAUCUAG